rnacentral:rRNA from 1 species
UACGUAGGGUGCAAGCGUUGUCCGGAAUUAUUGGGCGUAAAGAGCUCGUAGGCGGUUUGUCGCGUCUGCUGUGAAAAUCCAGGGCUUAACCCUGGACCUGCAGUGGGUACGGGCAGACUGGAGUGUGGUAGGGGAGAUCGGAAUUCCUGGUGUAGCGGUGAAAUGCGCAGAUAUCAGGAGGAACACCGGUGGCGAAGGCGGAUCUCUGGGCCGUAACUGACGCUGAGGAGCGAAAGCAUGGGGAGCGAACAGG